GACGAACGCUGGCGGCGUGCUUAACACAUGCAAGUCGAACGAAGUGGCGAACGGGCGAGUAACGCGUAAUCAACCGGCCCUUCAGAGGGGGACAACAGGUGGAAACGACUGCAAAUACCGCAUACUGAAGGAGGGGAUGGAGUUUGAUAAGCUAGUUGGAGGGGAAACGGCCCACCAAGGCGAUGCUCAGUAGGCGGUCGGAGAGGAUGAACGGCCACAUUGGGACUGAGACACGGCCCAGACUCCUACGGGAGGCAGCAGUGGGGAAUCUUCCGCAAUGGACGAAAGUCUGACGGAGCAACGCCGCGUGAGUUAUGACGGCCUUCGGGUUGUAAAGCUCUGUUAAUCGGGACGCGGUACCGGAAUAGAAAGCCACGGCUAACUACGUGCCAGCAGCCGCGGUAAUAC
rnacentral:rRNA from 1 species